CUCAGAGUUCAUGGCCUCCCAUUAUUUAGCAGAUUUGUUUUUGCAUCCUGGCUGAACCUUCUAGCGUGAGAGCAGAAACUCCAUUUGGAUCUUAUAUGUACCUUUGCAAGGACGCCAGGGGUAUAACCUAACAAAUGUGUGGGGUCAACUGGUUUCCCAAGGGGACGCUACUGAGAAGCUGGCUCACCAAGUCCCGGCCCAGGCUCCUGCUGCUGAUCGCAGGGUUGAAGCGGCCUCAGGUCACCCUCAUGAGGAGGAAAAGGAUGAAGCGCACGAAAGUAGCAAAGGCCACGUAAGCGAGUGUCCAUCCGACUGCCGCAUUUCCCUUGAGUUUCCGGCACUGAGGGGAGCAGGAACUGGGAUAGAAAUGGAAGACCAAGCCGCCACAGAGGCACUAAGUUUUCAAACUUAUCAAAAACAACGAACUAAAAA